rnacentral:lncRNA from 1 species
GGUGGAUGUUGAGUAAUAAUACAGUUAUAUGGUGAAAAAUUAAAAAUAUAGUUAUUAUCAUAGAAGAGCCUAGUAUAUAGAUGUAGGAAAAAAACAAAGAUAAAUGAUAAAAAGAUAGUAAAAAGUUUAGUCUUAGUAUUGUUUUUUGAAGAAGGAAGUUCUAUUUAUUUUAUAGAAGCAUAAAAGCCUCAAAUAAAAAUAA